rnacentral:rRNA from 1 species
AAUGAACGUUGGCGGCGUGGAUUAGGCAUGCAAGUCGUACGGGUCGGUGUAGCAAUACAACGGCAAGUGGCGAAAGGGAGAGUAACACGUAGAUACCUACCCUCUGGUCGGGGAUACCGCGGCAUAACCGCAAGUAAUACCCGAUAAAAUCUCCGGAUCAAAGGUGUGAUUCCGCCGGAGGAGGGGUCUGCGUUCUAUCAGCUUGUUGGUGAGGUAAUGGCUCACCAAGGCUAAGACGGAUACGGGGUGUGAGAGCAUGCCCCCGCUCACUGGGACUGAGACACUGCCCAGACACCUACGGGUGGCUGCAGUCGAGAAUCUUCGGCAAUGGGCGCAAGCCUGACCGAGCGACGCCGCGUGCGGGAUGAAGGCCUUCGGGUUGUAAACCGCUGUCGAGGGGAACGAAGUGUAGGUGGGUACUCCCAUCUAUUUGACAGAUCCCUGGAGGAAGCAUGGGCUAAGUUCGUGCCAGCCGCCGCCGUAAAAC